rnacentral:rRNA from 1 species
ACGCACGCUGGCGGCCUGCCUAACCCCUGCACGUCGAACGAUCCCUUCGGGGAUAGUGGCGCACGGGUGCGUAACGCGUGGGAACCUGCCCUUAGGUUCGGAAUAACUCGGAGAAAUUUGAGCUAAUACCGGAUAAUGUCUUCGGACCAAAGAUUUAUCGCCUUUGGAUGGGCCCGCGUUGGAUUAGCUAGUUGGUGGGGUAAAGGCCUACCAAGGCGACGAUCCAUAGCUGGUCUGAGAGGAUGAUCAGCCACACUGGGACUGAGACACGGCCCAGACUCCUACGGGAGGCAGCAGUGGGGAAUAUUGGACAAUGGGCGAAAGCCUGAUCCAGCAAUGCCGCGUGAGUGAUGAAGGCCUUAGGGUUGUAAAGCUCUUUUACCCGGGAUGAUAAUGACAGUACCGGGAGAAUAAGCCCCGGCUAACUCCGUG